rnacentral:lncRNA from 1 species
ACUAAUCAGUUUAGCAUGAAAAAUAUUUGAUCCAGUCUGAAGUGGUAGCUGUUUUACUGAACACUUCUUCAGAAAGAAUUCUUUAUU